CGGGACGGGUGAGUAACACGUGGAUAACCUACCUAUAAGACUGGGAUAACUUCGGGAAACCGGAGCUAAUACCGGAUAAUAUAUUGAACCGCAUGGUUCAAUAGUGAAAGACGGUUUUGCUGUCACUUAUAGAUGGAUCCGCGCCGCAUUAGCUAGUUGGUAAGGUAACGGCUUACCAAGGCAACGAUGCGUAGCCGACCUGAGAGGGUGAUCGGCCACACUGGAACUGAGACACGGUCCAG
rnacentral:rRNA from 2 species